rnacentral:rRNA from 1 species
UGGGGAAUUUUCCGCAAUGGGAGAAAGCCUGACGGAGCAAUGCCGCGUGGAGGUGGAAGGCCUACGGGUCGUCAACUUCUUUCUCGGAGAAGAAACAAUGACGGUAUCUGAGGAAUAAGCAUCGGCUAACUCUGUGCUAG